rnacentral:rRNA from 1 species
CCUACGGGGGGCAGCAGUGGGGAAUAUUGCGCAAUGGGCGAAAGCCUGACGCAGCGACGCCGCGUGAGGGAUGAAGGUCUUCGGAUCGUAAACCUCUGUCAGCAGGGAAGAACGGUCACUGUGCUAAUCAGCAGUGAAUUGACGGUACCUGCAAAGGAAGCACCGGCUAACUCCGUGCCAGCAGCCGCGGUAAUACGGAGGGUGCGAGCGUUAAUCGGUAUUGCUGGGCGUAAAGCGCUCGUAGGCGGUAUGUCAAGUCAAGGGUGAAAUCCCCGGGCUCAACGGGGGAACUGCCUUUGAAACUGGCAAACUGGAGUGUGUGAGAGGAUAGUGGAAUUCCAGGUGUAGGAGUGAAAUCCGUAGAUAUCUGGAGGAACAUCAGUUGCGAAGGCGACUAUCUGGGACAUAACUGACGCUGAGGAGCGAAAGCGUGGGUAGCAAACAGGAUUAGAUACCCGGGUAGUC